GNAGGGGGCAAGCGNNAUCCGGAUUCAUNGGGCGUAAAGCGCGCGUAGGCGGUCUGUNAGGUCAGGAGNNAAAUCUGGGGGCUCAACCCCUAUCCGCUCCUGAUACCGGCAGGCUUUGAGUCUGGUAGGGGAAGANGGAAUUUCCAAGUGUAGCGGUGAAAUGCGCAGCUAUUUGGAAGAACACCGGUGGCGAAGGCGGUCUUCUGGGCCAUGACUGACGCUGAGGCGCGAAAGCUAGGGGAGCGAACAGGAUUAGAUACCCUGGUAGUCCUAGCUGUAAACGAUGGACACUAGGUGUGGGGAGAUUAUACUUUUCCGUGCCGCAGCUAACGCAUUAAGUGUCCCGCCUGGGGAGU
rnacentral:rRNA from 1 species